rnacentral:rRNA from 1 species
UGGGGAAUUUUGCACAAUGGGGGAAACCCUGAUGCAGCGACGCCGCGUGAUUUAGAAGGCCUUCGGGUUGUAAAAAUCUUUUUUAUGGGAUGAAAAUGACAGUACCAUAAGAAUAAGGUCCGGCUAAAUACGUGCCAGCAGCCGCGGUAAUACGUAGGUGGCAAGCGUUGUCCGGAUUUAUUGGGCGUAAAGCGAGCGCAGGCGGUCAAUUAAGUCUGAUGUGAAAGCCCCCGGCUCAACCGGGGAGGGUCAUUGGAAACUGGUUGACUUGAGUGCAGAAGAGGAGAGUGGAAUUCCAUGUGUAGCGGUGAAAUGCGUAGAUAUAUGGAGGAACACCAGUGGCGAAGGCGACUCUCUGGUCUGUAACUGACGCUGAGGCUCGAAAGCGUGGGUAGCAAACAGG